ensembl:lncRNA
CUUCCCCAUCCACAUAUAAACAGGUCAUGGACUCCUGUCAAGUCUUCUUUGCCUGUAUUUCUUAAAUACAGUAUACAGUUUCUUCAGUACAGACCUAGUUCAGGUACCCACCUUCCACCAAGACCAGAGUUCCAGGUUCCAGCAUCUGUACAACCAAGGGUUCUAUUUUCAUCCAAAUGCCUUGACUGCUUGGGAGAGUCAAUUUUAGGAGAAGGAAAACUUCUCAUGAAGAUGCCAUGUAGUUGGUACAGGAUUUCUGAUUUGCAAAUCCUCUGAUGAUCAUGAGGCCCAUUUAUGGAGCCAUGGUGCUGGCUCAGGGAUGUAUUCCAGACAGAACUCAGACCUGCCAGAUACCCAACUAGCAAAGAGAGAUGAUGAGCUUUCUGGAGGUUUUAACCAAGGGCCUGGCUGAU